GAAGUAGGUUAUGGUGUAGUGCAGGGCUAUUCAACUAUAUUUUUCUGGGGGCCAGAUUUGUCAGAAUGCUAUGACCAGUGGGCCGGACAUUCCCGUGACCUGUACUAUUACUCUCUGAUGUA